rnacentral:rRNA from 1 species
UACGAAGGGGGCUAGCGUUGCUCGGAAUGACUGGGCGUAAAGGGCGCGUAGGCGGAUGACACAGUCAGAUGUGAAAUUCUCGGGCUUAACCUGGGGGCUGCAUUUGAUACGUGUUGUCUAGAGUGAGGAAGAGGGUUGUGGAAUUCCCAGUGUAGAGGUGAAAUUCGUAGAUAUUGGGAAGAACACCGGUGGCGAAGGCGGCAACCUGGUCCUUGACUGACGCUGAGGCGCGAAAGCGUGGGGAGCAAACAGG